CUCCUGAACGGUUAAGCUCCCCCUCUAGUGUUCACUGCUCAUCAUAUUAUUCCUCCAGGAAGAAGGAAAGAGAGAUGCCACUUUAUAACUUCACACAGAGACGGCUGCUACUCAUUUAUAUCUUCAGAGUAUAAUGGCAUGAAGACAAAAAGGUUACUUUAAGCCGCAUUAAUGUAGACUGGGAGCGGACUCUAGCUGUUCUUCAUCAUUCUUGGAAGCUGCAUAGGAAAACCAAUAUAGUCCACAAAUAACUGGCCCCAACACUGAAGUGUACUCAGGUGUGACCGGCAAAACUCAGAAGCAAAACAAAGAUGGGUUCAUGUCAAUUCUGCGUCCCCCCUUUCUGAAGCAGUAAGGUUGGGGAGUGGCUGCUCUCAGUAGCAACAUGUUACACUUUGAUGAGGGACUUAAUACAUUUAAAGUGACUCAACUGCUCUGGCAAUGCAAGGAUUUGGAGGAACCAUUUAUCUACCUACAUUGUUUUGCAUGGAGACUAGAAGAAAAACCCAGCUAAGCUUACUUUCUCUCAUAUGAAGAUCUGGUCUGUGCAUCAGAU